rnacentral:misc_RNA from 1 species
CCGCGUGUGGCAGCUGAAGGCGGUGUUGUAAAGCCAGCUUCCUUUGGCCAUGUGAAGUCUAUUACUUAUUUUCCCGUUAUUUGACAUUGAAAUUUUGUGAUCGCUUAGACCUUCAUCCACAGGCAUCUUUAGGUUAUGUUUGCUGAGGCGUGGAAGAGCACAGACCAGCAGCCCUAGUGCAGAAUGAGUUCCCAAGAGCUGCAUGGCAAAGGUCUGUCGUCGGGUGGAGGGAGAGACCCAGGUGGAGCGCGUGGGGGAGGUGGAUACCGGGGAAAGAAAGGAAAGAGAGGACGGGGAAGAGGAAGGUGGAUAAGAGGAAAAGCCUACUUUCACAGCAAAGGAAGAGGCCUGACAAGGGGUUCCGGCAAGAAGAUCCGUCACCGUGGGGGACCAGGUCGGGGUAAGAAGUGGGUUUAUGAUGACCCUCCCGUGGGGUCUGGCCAGGAUGCUUACAUUGUCCCCAGAGCUGUCAAUCGGAACCAAGUGGUGGAUGCAGAAGGGCCUGGAGAGGAAUUACCUAAUACGGAUUCUGUAGAAGAAAUUGUGGCUAGUGGGGAUAAAGUGAGUAGCAUUGGAGGGGCAGAGGAGAAGGAUGGCUUAGACGAGGAAGACGCAGAAGCUAACAGCCCUGACGGAGGGGAAGGAGACAACGAAGACAGUAUGGAGGCUUCAACACAGAGUGAGGACCAGAAGAACAAAGUGCUAGAGAUGAUGUCAUUGCAGUUCAAUUCAGCUGAUAUUACUGAGGGCUCAUUCCCAGAGGCAAAGAGAGGAAGGCGCAUCUCUAGGUACACAAGGAAACGUAAGUUUGAUUCACUUGAAGGUGAAGACAAGACUCCAGAAGUGGUAAAUCCUCAACAAGUUUCAUCAACUCCACCUGCCUUGUCUCUAGUUGGGAAUACCAUCACAAAUGUCCUCAAGAAAAUAAGAAAAGAAGGGUUAGAGAAUCUCCCAAUGCCAAAUACAUCUCCUGCAGUUGUAAGAACAAGAAGGGGAGCACAGGAGCGGAAGUCAGGGAGCGAGAAGGAUUCAAGUGAAGAGACAGCCAGUAUCUCAGAGGCUUCUGAAGUGGACUCAAAAAUGGAGGAAAACACUGAUAGUGGCAAGAACACCCCCAUCAAGCAAUGUGUGAAGAGGGGUCGAGGGAAAGCAAAGAACGUAGCUGAUGCUGAUGUUGGAAAUGAGUCUGGAAAUGAGUCGCCAGUUAUUCCUCCGAAGAACCGUAGCAAGACUAGGUCAAGUUCAGAGGAAGAUCCUCAGCAGGAUGGGGUUGACGUGUCUGUCGCAGCACCUGUUAGUGCCGGAAGAGGCAAGGGUAGGGGUCGAGGACAUAUUGAUCCUGAUUCUUCUCUUGCUCUUGUUGGGAGAGGGAGAGGGGCCAAAAGCAUUAUGAAAGAGGAAGUUGUUAAUAAACCUGCUGGAAAGGAAGAAGUUCCUGUACAAAGUAAACCAAGAGGAAAGAUGCGACCUGAAGCCGAGAGGCUGGAGGAGGUGGCAGGGAUACAUUCACCCUCGGCAAUAGGUCGUGGCCGAGGGAGAACUAGAACUUCCACAGAAGAUGUUGGAGGUAGUGCCAGUCAAGGUACUUCCUCUGUUGGCAUGACAGGCAGAAGAGGCAGAGGGAAGAGCAUUGAUAGUGAAUCUACACCUGAUUCAGAUCCUGGCAGUCGACAGAGACGUAGCAUGACACCAUUGAAAAAUGACACAACAACUUCCUCUGAGCCAAAACGGUCACAGCGCCUCUCCCUGUCACGUGAUGGGCAGGAAACCCCACAGGGAAGCAAGAGAGGUAAGCAGAUAACAAUACCAGAGAUAUUCAAGAGAGACUACUCGCCUAAAUCAUACCCAAGUAGAAUGAAGAAAGAGGAUGAAGCAGCCUUUACAAAGACUGGAAAGAGGAAAAAGAAACAUUUUAAAGGUCUGAGUUAUUCAUUCAGUGGCAAGAAAAAGAAGGGAAAAGGAAAGUUACGCUCAGGUGGGCCAGAUGCCUACCAAGAGACUGAUUCUGUUGUGUCGGAAGAGGUUGAUAUCGAGUCUGUGGAUUCAUCAUCACAGGAUGUCCCUUCACAGCUCUCACAUUACCAGGACCAAGAUGCCUUAGAUGAUGGAGGCUCAGAAGUUGCAGAUAAUGAUGAUGGUGAAAUGGAUAAUUUAGAUACACUGGAUGGAGAGGGUGAAAUGGAAGAUGACAACAUAGAUGAGGAGCCUUUGGGAAACCCAGAGGAAGAUGCUGUUGUGGAUACUGAGGAUCAUGAGGAUCAUGUAUUAGAUGAUGAGACAGAUGUUACUGAUAUGACAGACAAUAUGGAAGAUAAGAAAAUUCCUGUAGAUACAGAGAACCAAUCUGUAGAAGAAGACAUGAGUAAUGUUGAUUCAUAUAUUGAGAGUAAACCCAUAGUCAGGGCAAUGAUGACAGAAGAGGAUGCUGCAUCAACAGAUCCUGAUGAAGAAGCCAUUCAUAAAACAGAAGAACAACUGAGAGAUGUGAAAGCAGCGACCAUACAGGAUGAUUUAGCAUACAAAGAUGAGGAAGACAGAAAAUCAAAUGGAGGUUCUGAAUCACCAAUGAGUUCAGCUGAGGAAGAUAUGAAAGAAGAGCCAGUAAAGGAACCAAGGCAAGAGGGACAAGAACAGCCAGAGGAAGGAGAAGAUGCAGAUGUAAAUCUCUCAGCAAAGGAACCAGAUCACGUUGAUCUCCCUAGUCAAGAUACCACUCAUUUGGUAUUAGAAAAAAGUGACUGUAAAAUGGUUGAGAAACCCACUGAGGAAAGCAUUAGUAUUGAUGAGUCUUCUAAUGAUAUGAAGAUUGAAAAUGAAACUCAAAGUGUCCUUGUCAGUGAAGAAAUAGAGCAAUCCAAGUCAAUAGGUAAGCCAGAGUCUCUUACAGGGCCAACCCAUGAAACCCAUGAGAGGCUUGAAAACCUGGAUCUCACAGCUGUGUCCCAAAAGGAACACCUGGCAGGAGGAGACCUGGUCCUACGGGGUAGACGUCGCCACAGCAUCAGUAAGCGACGGUUGGAGGACUUGGGCUUGGAGGGACAUAACUCUGACUCAAGUGAUUCUAUUGGUGAAACUCGAUUACCAGCAGAAGGUGUGAGGAAGAGCAAGAGGUUGAGUCGUAACAUGUCUCCACAUCCCCUCUCAAUAACCGCACCGAGGUCACCUGAAGGACCUGGAAAAGCACAAUCAAAACCUGUAGGAUCUCAGUCAUCAUAUGUUGCUGCUCCCAGUCUUACCAAUGUGCUCUGUAAGUGUCGCAUCAAAGAGAAUCCUCUCGCUGUUGACAUUACCGGUGAUGUCUAUUGUCAAGCCAUAGACUCAUUUGAUGGGCGAAUGAUUGGCUGCUGUAAUGUUGUUACUAAUUAUAGAUACCAGCGUGUAAGUGGAAAGAUUCCAUUUGUUCUUCUAUGUGAAACUCAUCGCCAGAGAUUAAGACGUCACAACUGUUGUCCAUGUUGUGGGCUUUUCUGUGCACAGGGUGUUUUUUAUGAGUGUUCAUGGGACAAGCAAGGGACACGCCAUUACUACCACAAGCUUUGCGGGUUAGUUCUUUCUGACUUGGUUUUGUGCCCUCAUUGUGGCACAGAAGAACCACCAAAAGAAGUCAGGUUAGAAUUAAAACUCAACAGGAAGCCAGUGAUCUACCUAAAACAGCACCAAGAGAGAAAGGAAGCUUCAGCCAGAAUGACUUGGUCAAAGAAAACCUCUCUUGAAGAUGAAGCCUUACAGUCAGUGUCACUUCCAGAAGGAGAGCCUAGGCUUGAACUCCAAUCUGGGCACAUCAUUUCAGCUCACAAGCUUCCUCUGGGCAUGGGGCGAGAGAAGUUGCAGGAAGCCAUACGUUCAAUAUCUUCAGGCAAAGUCGUUAGUGUUAAACCGUCAGCAAAAAGUGUUUAUUGGGCUUGCAAAAACAAUGAUUUGGAAAAGCUUCUACAUGUCUUAGUACAAGGUGUAAGUCCAAAUGUAAAAGUCAAGGAGUAUGGGAACCAAACAGGCAUGCAUGUGGCAGCAUCUUAUGGCAUCCUUGCAGCCCUCCAUGUUCUGGUUCUUGCUGGUGCAACUAUAGACAUGACUGACACCCAGCUCAUGAGCCCACUCAUGGUGGCUAUAACCAAAGAACAGAAUGAUGUGGUGCACUACCUUAUUCAAGCUGGGGCAUCUCUCAUGGCAAAGACUCAGGAUGGCAUGACGUGCCUUCACCUUGCUGCAAAGGGUGGGAAUCUCAUGGCUUGCCAACACAUUCUAAACUCUGGACGAUUGACCCGCCAUGCUGUUAAUAUGCAGGAUGAAGGGGGAUGGACCCCUCUUGUCUGGGCCUCAGAGAAUAAGUUUACCCAUGUUGUGAAGUAUCUCCUUGAUCGUGGAGGAAACCCUCAAUUGUGUGAUGUAGAACAGAACACUGCCUUACAUUGGGGAGCUUUCUCAGGAGCCUCGCACAUUUGCUCUAUGGUGUUGGACCGUGGGUGCUCACUCAGAUCCAUGAAUGCCCACGGAGAUACCCCUCUGCACAUUGCAGCUCGCCAGAAUAAUACAGACACAGUUGUACUUCUCUUGGCAAGAGGUGCAAGGUUGGAUGUUGUCAACAAAAAGGGACAGAUGCCUAUUGACUGUGCUGUCCCUGAUUCUGAUGUCCAUUUGCAACUCUCUCUAAACAGCAAACUACAAAAUAUGAUGUCUCAGAACAAUAUCCGUACUGAGAAAAUUCUAAGCAGUGAUAUUGCAGCUGGUAAGGAGCAAGUACCAAUCCCCUGUGUGAAUGGAGUUAAUGAUGACCUGCUGCCCAGAGAUUACUUAUACAUUGCUGAAAAUUGUGAGGCCUCCAAUGUCAUCAUUGAUAGGACCAUUACUUCAUUAAAGUGGUGUGAGUGUGAGGAUGGUUGUAAUACUGACAGUUGCGGGUGUGGUCAGCUGAACUUCCAGUGUUGGUAUGACCCAGAUGGCCGCCUCCUACCUGAUUUCAACUACAAUGAUCCUCCAAUGAUAUUUGAGUGCAACAGAGCCUGUCGCUGCAACAAGCUUUCCUGUAAUAACCGGGUGGUCCAGCAUGGAAUUUCUGCUCACAUGCAACUUUUCAAAACCAGGGGAAAAGGUUGGGGUGUCAGAGCCUUGAAGACUAUUCAAAAGGGGUCAUAUGUUUGUGAAUAUGUUGGUGAAAUUAUAACUGACCUGGAAGCUGACCACAGACAAGAUGAUUCCUACCUCUUUGAUCUCGACAAUCGGCAUUUGGCAGGGCAGAUGUAGUGUUUGUGGCAUGUGCUCAUAAGUGGUGGUGAGAGCCACAGCCUCUCAUUGUUCUCCUGGGGCACCCUCGGCAUAGUGUGCUACCCAACAAGUUUGACUAUGGCGAAAAAUUCUGGAUAAUCAAGUACAAACAUUUCACCUGUACAUGUGGUUUGGUGAAGUGCAAGUAUUCCAGUGAGACUAUCCACACCACCCUUGAGAACUACAACCGGAGAAUCAGGGAGUUGCAGGAGACGUCAUAAUGCUAAAGAGAAGAACUUGCUGUACCUGUUUUAGAGGCAGACACACUACAUGGCGUAUGGUAUUUAUGUACCUGUGAGGACAGUUAAAAACCUAUUUAGUAAGAAGUUUAAGUGAUACAGAAUUAAUUUCCAAUGUAUUCCAAAUCAGUUAUUUAAGAUAAGUGAGGCAUGUAUAAAUCUCAAGAAAAUGAAGGAAAUGUGUGACAGAUUGCUAUUGAAACUAGUGCUUGCCACCUUUUUCUGUGAUUAAGCCUUUUUAAUAAAUGAUAGAAAGAUGAACAGUUUAGUGAAAAAGUCAAGUGGCCUCUGGUGAUACAUACAGUAUGUGGGUAUACAAAGAUUACUAAAGUACAAACUGCUUUGUAUUUUUUAUUUAUUUAUUUAUUUUUUUAAGGACAUUGACUGCAGCACAGUAAAAUGGUAACUGGUCUGGACCAAGUGACAAGUAGUGGUGUGCCUGUGUUUGGUCAUGGAUUAGACAUACAUCUCUUAUAAGUACAAUUUAGACAUUGUUUAAACUGGGUUGGGUGUAGAUAACAAAAAAAAUGAAGUCAGCAUAACCCAGCUUUUCACAAAAGGAGACUUUCAUAAGACACUUUUUUCUUUUUUUUCUGAUAAGCUUUUAAAAACCUGUGUAGGCUGUAUCAGUAGUAAAAUGUAAUGUCCAAAUAGGGAUUGGUAAUUACCUAAAGUCUGUCACUGAAGUAUUUUAAUUUCAGUGUCUCUUUGUCACUGAUCACUUACUAUACUUUUCUGUUACCUCCAUUUGUGGCUGUUUUGCCACUUGCUUUGGCAACUGCAUGUUUUUCUAGCUAUUUGUUUACAGAGUAGCUCCAACAGCCUUUUUUCAUAAGGUUAUUAAUACUUCCAUUUGAUACAGGUAGUAAGGGCACUAAUAUCUAUUAGGAGAGAUAGCAAACCUUGGAGCCAGGUACAUGUACUAUCCACCAUGGUUUUAUUGCUUUUGUUUUAUGUAAAUUGCUCCACAAAUGCUGUCACCAAAGAGUCACUUACUUGGCCUACCUUAUCUCACUUGUUACCCUAUUCCUUUUUUCCCCUCCUAUUAUUAUUACCACCAUUAUUAAUGUUGUUAUUAUUUUUAUCCUUAUACUGUUAAUAAUGAUACUAGUAAAAAAGAAAUGAAAUGGGAUAAACAGGGAAAGGCACAUAGACCAAGUCCUUAACUCCCUGGUGACUAAGUGUUUCAGAAGCUAUCUACACCACCCGCAAGACAGUGUGUCUAGGGAUAUUUUCAUAGUAUGAAAUGGUAUUCUAUUGAUAUCUCAGCAGAAAUAACUGACAGAGAAUUGCUUCCCCUCCCAGCACUCCCAGUGACUUUGAAACUUUGAAUAUUGCAUAAAACAGUAAGAGGGAGAGAAAGCAAAUUGCUGUUUACCCUUGCACAGUGCAGCAGUUCAAGGACAACAGGAAGUAAGGGAUUUCUUCCUUUGUUUUGCUGUGAGUGUGGAACAAGCAUCUACUUUCUGUCUCAAGGACUGCAGUAUGCUUCUGUAUAUACUAUUGUCCUUGAAAUGCCACAUUGUGGGAAAAUUACAGUUGUUUGCUUCCCAAUGGCAGAAUUAUUUUCUCUUAUGUAUUAUUGUGAUGUAAAUAGUUUUGAUAUCACUUAGGAUUUAGAAGAGGGGAACAUAGUAUGAACUUGAAAAAAAGAUGGAGGUCCAAACAUGUCACUCAUGUAUCAGUCAGUCACAUUAACACACUGCUACAGUUCCACUUUGUGUGAGGGUGUAGGUAACUUUUUUUUUCUCCCUCUUUUUCACUGAAGAGACAGAUUGGGUGUCAUUUCACACCAUGAGAAUGUUCCAUGGACACUGAUGGGUAGUGUAUAUGUAGACAAAAUUGAUAAAACAAAAGCAGAGCAUAUAUAUUUACAUACACAUGCACAUACACAUACUCAUUUACACACACAUGCACUUACACACACACACAUUUACACACACACACACACACACACA